GAUGAACGCUGGCGGCGUGCCUAAUACAUGCAAGUCGAGCGAACAGACGAGGAGCUUGCUCCUCUGACGUUAGCGGCGGACGGGCGAGUAACACGUGGAUAACCUCCCUAUAAGACUGGGAUAACUUCGGGAAACCGGAGCUAAUACCGGAUAAUAUAUUGAACCGCAUGGUUCAAUAGUGAAAGACGGUUUUGCUGUCACUUAUAGAUGGAUCCGCGCCGCAUUAGCUAGUUGGUAAGGUAACGGCUUACCAAGGCAACGAUGCGUAGCCGACCUGAGAGGGUGAUCGGCGACACUGGAACUGAGACACGGUCCAGACUCCUACGGGAGGCAGCAGUAGGGAAUCUUCCGCAAUGGGCGAAAGCCUGACGGAGCAACGCCGCGUGAGUGAUGAAGGUCUUCGGAUCGUAAAACUCUGUUAUGAGGGAAGAACAAAUGUGUAAGUAACUAUGCACGUCUUGACGGUACCUAAGCAGAAAGCCACGGCUAACUACGUG
rnacentral:rRNA from 1 species